GGUAAUAUGGCCGAGAGUAGGCAGCGGGCUGUAGAUCCGCACACAGGGAAAACCCUUGUUACCA
rnacentral:tRNA from 1 species